rnacentral:rRNA from 1 species
GGGUUGUGAGGUUAAGCGACUAAGCGUACACGGUGGAUGCCCUGGCAGUCAGAGGCGAUGAAGGACGUGCUAAUCUGCGAUAAGCGUCGGUAAGGUGAUAUGAACCGUUAUAACCGGCGAUUUCCGAAUGGGGAAACCCAGUGUGUUUCGACACACUAUCAUUAACUGAAUCCAUAGGUUAAUGAGGCGAACCGGGGGAACUGAAACAUCUAAGUACCCCGAGGAAAAGAAAUCAACCGAGAUUCCCCCAGUAGCGGCGAGCGAACGGGGAGCAGCCCAGAGCCUGAAUCAGUGUGUGUGUUAGUGGAAGCGUCUGGAAAGGCGCGCGAUACAGGGUGACAGCCCCGUACACAAAAAUACACAUACUGUGAGCUCGAUGAGUAGGGCGGGACACGUGGUAUCCUGUCUGAAUAUGGGGGGACCAUCCUCCAAGGCUAAAUACUCCUGACUGACCGAUAGUGAACCAGUACCGUGAGGGAAAGGCGAAAAGAACCCCGGCGAGGGGAGUGAAAAAGAACCUGAAACCGUGUACGUACAAGCAGUGGGAGCACGCUUAGGCGUGUGACUGCGUACCUUUUGUAUAAUGGGUCAGCGACUUAUAUUCUGUAGCAAGGUUAACCGAAUAGGGGAGCCGAAGGGAA